UCUUAGAGAUUUCUUUUCUUUUUGUGUCGCUUUUCUCCAUUUGUUUUAGUUGUAUGAGUGCGGAAUAUUACUAUAGUAUGUAAAAGGCAAAGUGUAAUAAGAUAUAACACUCGCGUAUUUAAUUAGAUUCUUCUCUAUUUAUACCCCUUUUGUUGCAUUAUUUUUAUUUAUUAUCACUUAUCCGCCUCUCUCAGCCCCCUCAUCAUAUCCAUGUUCUCUUCCUUAUUCUCUCCUACCAUUUCCAAUCGUUAAUUAGAGAAAAUAAAAUGAGGUUAUUUUGGUCUGAUGAUUUCAAGCGUAAGUUCGCCUGUGCUAUUAUGAAAUAUGGUGAUGAAAAAAGUGCUAUCCCUGAACAAAUUUGGCUUGAGAUGCGAGCUGAUGGAAUUACUCUGAAGCAAGUUAGUAAUCAUUUGAAAUAUCGAAAAAAGCUACGUGCAUUAAAGAAUAAAGGUAAUCAUCACGACAUCAAGCAUUAUUUAUGCUAUUAUAUACGUAUUACUUCAUCGUUUUCUCUAUUUUUUAAUUUUUUAAAACAACUCUAUUUAUAUUAUUUAUUGUGCUUAAUUGUAUGUUAUUUUAUUCGUCAAUUUCUAAGGCUCAUACCAGAAGAGUAUAUGAACAUACUAUAUAUUUUAAAUUCAUCCUUGUUAUUAUAGUUGAAUUAUUAAAUUCUUCAAUUUUUCAAACAUGCACGCUUAAUUUCAAUCACCCCCCCUAAAAAAUUAAUUUAAGAGAAAUGAUAAAGUUAGUGCAAGUAAAAUCUUAAGUAUUCAGUACAUGUUUUCUCAUUUGAAUGAGGAAGCCGUCCAUUUCCAUACUCCAUAUUUAUUUUUUUAAGAAUUCGAUAUGGUACUUGUUAUGUUUCCUUUUCUUUAAUUUUAAAUAUCAUUCUAUGUUUUGUUAUUAUUUUUGUGCAAAAGUGAUAUUUUUUUUUCUCGAGAAUUAAAUUUACAUAUAAAACAAGUUCUUAUAAAAGCAGACGAGUUUAUUUAUAUAUUUUAAGUUUAAAUAAGUGAAAUCGAAUUAAUAAAAAAUCAUCACUUCUAACAAAGUGUAACAUUAUUGUUGAGAGCCCAAGAACUAUUUCUAUUGAAAUAAAAGUACCAGGAGAAGCCAAUAAAAAGGAAUAUGUUUAUUGGAUAUUCAAAGACCUUGCUGACGAAAGUUCCAACGCAAAGGCGAAGAAGAGGAAGAAAGGUGUUUUGGAUUUAACUUUGAGGCUGAAAUGUUGGCAGCACUUCUACUAUAUCACAUUAAGAAGAGAUUUUAUCAUUAGACCUCUCCCUUUGAUAAUAUUCGCAACCGGAUUAUCAUACCUGUCAUGGACCUUGUGUUCAUGAAACUAGCUUGCAUGCUAGAUAGCUGAGCAUUAUAGUUUUUUUGUCUUUUAUUUAUAUGUUUCAUAUCUAUGUCGUUUCAUUUUAUGUAAACUUUCUAUUAUCCUUAGGAAUAUGCUUGUAUUGGACUUAUUAAGCUCGCCUAAGUUAUCCAUAUAUGAUAUGUGGUAUUGUUAUCUUUAA